CCCAGUUCGGAUUGUAGUCUGCAACUCGACUACAUGAAGCCGGAAUCGCUAGUAACCGCGGAUCAGAAUGCCGCGGUGAAUACGUUCCCGGGUCUUGUACACACCGCCCGUCACACCAUGGGAGCCGGAAAUGCCCGAAGUCAGUGACCCAACCAAUAAGGAGGGAGCUGCCGAAGGCAGGUCUGGUGACUGGGGUGAAGUCGUAACAAGGUAAC
rnacentral:rRNA from 1 species